rnacentral:misc_RNA from 1 species
UCUCCGUAGGUGAACCUGCGGAGGGAUCAUAACAGAGUUCAUGCCCUACCGGGUAGAUCUCCCACCCUAUGUUAUUAUUACUUUGUUGCUUUGGUGGGCCGUUAGGCUCCGGCCCGACUACCGGCCCCGGCUGGUAAGCGCCCGCCAGAGGACCCAAAACCCUGAAUAUUAGUGUCGUCUGAGUACUAUAUAAUAGUUAAAACUUUCAACAACGGAUCUCUUGGUUCUG